AGCAGCCGCGGUAAUUCCAGCUCCAAUAGCGUAUAUUAAAGUUGUUGCAGUUAAAAAGCUCGUAGUUGAAUUUUGGAUUCGGCCAAUUGGUCCAUCUUUUAGAUGAGUACUGGUUGUGUUGGGUCUAUCCGCCUGGUGAUACGUAAUGUCCUUUAUUGGGUGUUGCGGGUAGUCAGGACCUUUACCUUGAAAAAUUAGAGUGUUUAAAGCAGGCUUAUGCCGGAAUACAUUAGCAUGGAAUAAUAGAAUAGGACGAAGUUGUUUUAUUUUGUUGGUUUCUAGGACAACCGUAAUGAUUAAUAGGGAUAGUUGGGGGCAUUAGUAUUCAAUUGUCAGAGGUGAAAUUCUUGGAUUUAUUGAAGACUAACUACUGCGAAAGCAUUUGCCAAGGAUGUUUUCAUUAAUCAAGAACGAAAGUUAGGGGAUCGAAGACGAUCAGAUACCGUCGUAGUCUUAACCAUAAACUAUGCCGACUAGGGAUCGGGCGAUGUUGUUUCCAUGACUCGCUCGGCACCUUAUG
rnacentral:rRNA from 2 species